CAGCAGCCUGGGCAAACAACCUUCCUCUGUGCUUGUUUCACCCAAAUCCCUUUGGAUUGAGAAGCGGAAGAAAACCACAAGCCUCGCCGAGAGCCUGCUGAUCCGGUCAGAGAUGCGGACGCACAAAUCCCUCAACUCUUCACUCCAAACAAAAGCAACCUGCUACUUCACAGUCAAUAAGCGAUUGCACUUUUCCAUCUAAUGCGAUGAUCUCUUCCAAUGAAGAGCGAAGAGCUUUUCACUUGGAAGAAACGCUACGGAAAGAUCAAUAAAAAUCAUAAUCCUACGGCUUCGAUUCGCAGAAUGUCUCCAAGUACCCGGACAUUGGUACCAACCCAGAGGCACCGGAUGAAGCCACCAGUGGGCAAAGAUCUACGAAACCCCAUGGGAGAUGUCUCUGCCUCCCUUGCACCUAUCCUAGAGAUACGGAAGGAACACAGAGCUUGUCCUUUGCCCCCCCAAAAAAAGAGGAAUAUGGCAUGGAACGAUACUUGGGAAGAGACCUACAAGAGGGAUUUCUCGGCCAACGUAAGAUCGUGCUAGAGCAUCCAGACUAAUUUAGAUCCACGAGGACCAAAUCUCAUGCACCAUCUGCCUCCCUCUUCUCCUCCCCGAAGCCAGCAGCUUUGGAAUCCAGAAUCGCCAGGGUGUUGGUUCCCCCUAGCACUGCAGAAACCCGUUCUCAACGCGACAGAUUUUCCAGCGAGGUGCAAUCACGCCGGAUUUUAACCAGCGCGUGGUGCAUUAACAUUCAGCCGCAGCUCCCGCUCCGUGGAGGAGAUCAACCAACCAUCCAUGGACAGCAGCGGCAACAGCACGGCCACCGAUGGAUGCUGGCCUGGUGGCAUGAACAUCUUCCUUACUCAAGGUCCAGAUCCAGCCUAACGCGAGGCAAAGCCCUGCCCAAGCCACCUGCUGCUUGCAGGCACCCGACAGCUCCUGCCACACUCCUAAAUUCCAUUAAUUUGCUCUUAAAAGCCUUUUUUCCCCCAUAAGCCCCACUGUCUUCAUGUGCCAAAGUGGAGUGGCUGCGGGUUUCUCUGCAGAGGUCACCCAAGGGUUGAUUAAACUGCGA